rfam:Helianthus annuus linkage group 1, whole genome shotgun sequence.
GCUAGAAGAGCAUGUCAGUAAGACAAGGAGUAACUUGCCUCGUAAAUAACACAAGGUAUUACAUUCCAAAACUGUGAGGUGUGACGAGGCAAGUCAUCCUUGGCUAUCAAACAAGAACUCUUCUCU